rnacentral:rRNA from 1 species
AGACCCGAAACCCGGUGAUCUAGCCAUGGGCAGGUUGAAGGUUGGGUAACACUAACUGGAGGACCGAACCGACUAAUGUUGAAAAAUUAGCGGAUGACCUGUGGCUGGGGGUGAAAGGCCAAUCAAACCGGGAGAUAGCUGGUUCUCCCCGAAAGCUAUUUAGGUAGCGCCUCGUGAACUCAUCUCCGGGGGUAGAGCACUGUUUCGGCUAGGGGGCCAUCCCGGCUUACCAACCCGAUGCAAACUGCGAAUACCGGAGAAUGUUAUCACGGGAGACACACGGCGGGUGCUAACGUCCGUCGUGAAGAGGGAAACAACCCAGACCGCCAGCUAAGGUCCCAAAGUCAUGGUUAAGUGGGAAACGAUGUGGGAAGGCCCAGACAGCCAGGAUGUUGGCUUAGAAGCAGCCAUCAUUUAAAGAAAGCGUAAUAGCUCACUGGUCGAGUCGGCCUGCGCGGAAGAUGUAACGGGGCUAAACCAUGCACCGAAGCUGCGGCAGCGAACGUAUCACUUAAAGCGAUUCAGCGGGUUACGAUUGACGGAGCGAAGCGACGUCAAAGCGUAUACAAAGUCGAGUCGGUUUAAGGAUACGUUCGUUGGGUAGGGGAGCGUUCUGUAAGCCUGCGAAGGUGGCCUGUGAGGGUUGCUGGAGGUAUCAGAAGUGCGAAUGCUGACAUAAGUAACGAUAAAGCGGGUGAAAAGCCCGCUCGCCGGAAGACCAAGGGUUCCUGUCCAACGUUAAUCGGGGCAGGGUGAGUCGACCCCUAAGGCGAGGCCGAAAGGCGUAGUCGAUGGGAAACGGGUUAAUAUUCCCGUACUUGGUGUUACUGCGAAGGGGGGACGGAGAAGGCUAUGUUGGCCGGGCGACGGUUGUCCCGGUUUAAGCGUGUAGGUGUGUGUUCCAGGUAAAUCCGGUUCACUUUAACACUGAGGCGUGACGACGAGGCACUACGGUGCUGAAGCAACAAAUGCCCUGCUUCCAGGAAAAGCCUCUAAGCAUCAGGUAACAUCAAAUCGUACCCCAAACCGACACAGGUGGUCAGGUAGAGAAUACCAAGGCGCUUGAGAGAACUCGGGUGAAGGAACUAGGCAAAAUGGUGCCGUAACUUCGGGAGAAGGCACGCUGACACGUAGGUGAAGUGAUUUACUCAUGGAGCUGAAGUCAGUCGAAGAUACCAGCUGGCUGCAACUGUUUAUUAAAAACACAGCACUGUGCAAACACGAAAGUGGACGUAUACGGUGUGACGCCUGCCCGGUGCCGGAAGGUUAAUUGAUGGGGUCAGCGCAAGCGAAGCUCCUGAUCGAAGCCCCGGUAAACGGCGGCCGUAACUAUAACGGUCCUAAGGUAGCGAAAUUCCUUGUCGGGUAAGUUCCGACCUGCACGAAUGGCGUAAUGAUGGCCAGGCUGUCUCCACCCGAGACUCAGUGAAAUUGAACUCGCUGUGAAGAUGCAGUGUACCCGCGGCAAGACGGAAAGACCCCGUGAACCUUUACUAUAGCUUGACACUGAACAUUGAGCCUUGAUGUGUAGGAUAGGUGGGAGGCUUUGAAGUGUGGACGCCAGUCUGCAUGGAGCCGACCUUGAAAUACCACCCUUUAAUGUUUGAUGUUCUAACGUGGACCCGUGAUCCGGGUUGCGGACAGUGUCUGGUGGGUAGUUUGACUGGGGCGGUCUCCUCCUAAAGAGUAACGGAGGAGCACGAAGGUUGGCUAAUCCUGGUCGGACAUCAGGAGGUUAGUGCAAUGGCAUAAGCCAGCUUGACUGCGAGCGUGACGGCGCGAGCAGGUGCGAAAGCAGGUCAUAGUGAUCCGGUGGUUCUGAAUGGAAGGGCCAUCGCUCAACGGAUAAAAGGUACUCCGGGGAUAACAGGCUGAUACCGCCCAAGAGUUCAUAUCGACGGCGGUGUUUGGCACCUCGAUGUCGGCUCAUCACAUCCUGGGGCUGAAGUAGGUCCCAAGGGUAUGGCUGUUCGCCAUUUAAAGUGGUACGCGAGCUGGGUUUAGAACGUCGUGAGACAGUUCGGUCCCUAUCUGCCGUGGGCGCUGGAGAACUGAGGGGGGCUGCUCCUAGUACGAGAGGACCGGAGUGGACGCAUCACUGGUGUUCGGGUUGUCAUGCCAAUGGCACUGCCCGGUAGCUAAAUGCGGAAGAGAUAAGUGCUGAAAGCAUCUAAGCACGAAACUUGCCCCGAGAUGAGUUCUCCCUGAGACUUAGAGUCUCCUGAAGGAACGUUGAAGACGACGACGUUGAUAGGCCGGGUGUGUAAGCGCAGCGAUGCGUUGAGCUAACCGGUACUAAUGAACCGUGAGGCUUAACCUUACA